CCUACGGGGCGCACCAGUGGGGAAUAUUGGACAAUGGGCGAAAGCCUGAUCCAGCCAUGCCGCGUGUGUGAAGAAGGCCUUUUGGUUGUAAGCACUUUAAGUGGGGAGGAAAAGCUUAUGGUUAAUACCCAUAAGCCCUGACGUUACCCACAGAAUAAGCACCGGCUAACUCUGUGCCAGCAGCCGCGGUAAUACAGAGGGUGCAAGCGUUAAUCGGAAUUACUGGGCGUAAAGCGCGCGUAGGUGGUCAUUUAAGUCAGAUGUGAAAGCCCCGGGCUUAACCUGGGAACUGCAUCUGAUACUGGAUGACUAGAGUAGGUGAGAGGGGAGUAGAAUUCCAGGUGUAGCGGUGAAAUGCGUAGAGAUCUGGAGGAAUACCGAUGGCGAAGGGAGCUCCCUGGCAUCAUACUGACACUGAGGUGCGAAAGCGUGGGUAGCAAACAGGAUUAGAUACCCGCGUAGUC
rnacentral:rRNA from 1 species